rnacentral:rRNA from 1 species
ACAGUGUCUGGUGGGUAGUUUGACUGGGGCGGUCUCCUCCUAAAGAGUAACGGAGGAGCACGAAGGUUGGCUAAUCCUGGUCGGACAUCAGGAGGUUAGUGCAAUGGCAUAAGCCAGCUUGACUGCGAGCGUGACGGCGCGAGCAGGUGCGAAAGCAGGUCAUAGUGAUCCGGUGGUUCUGAAUGGAAGGGCCAUCGCUCAACGGAUAAAAGGUACUCCGGGGAUAACAGGCUGAUACCGCCCAAGAGUUCAUAUCGACGGCGGUGUUUGGCACCUCGAUGUCGGCUCAUCACAUCCUGGGGCUGAAGUAGGUCCCAAGGGUAUGGCUGUUCGCCAUUUAAAGUGGUACGCGAGCUGGGUUUAGAACGUCGUGAGACAGUUCGGUCCCUAUCUGCCGUGGGCGCUGGAGAACUGAGGGGGGCUGCUCCUAGUACGAGAGGACCGGAGUGGACGCAUCACUGGUGUUCGGGUUGUCAUGCCAAUGGCACUG